UACGUAGGGCGCAAACGUUGUCCGGAAUUAUUGGGCGUAAAGAGCUCGUAGGCGGUCUGUUGCGUCCGCUGUGAAAACUCGGGGCUUAACCCCGAGCCUGCAGUGGAUACGGGCAGACUAGAGGUAGGUAGGGGAGAAUGGAAUUCCCGGUGUAGCGGUGAAAUGCGCAGAUAUCGGGAGGAACACCGGUGGCGAAGGCGGUUCUCUGGGCCUUACCUGACGCUGAGGAGCGAAAGCGUGGGGAGCGAACAGG
rnacentral:rRNA from 1 species